GGUCCAAAUUUGAAGUAGAGUAGAUUAGUAGCAUUAGCUGAUGCUACUAAUCUACUCUACUUCAAGUUUGUACCC
rfam:Haemonchus placei strain MHpl1 genome assembly, scaffold: HPLM_contig0012447